AUGACUUUGUAUCACUGUGGUUCACGUUUGGUGGAGGAACCAAACUCAUCGAGUUCUCGUGUGCUGCUCAGCUGUCUGUCCUACACUGGACCUCAACCUGCUCCUUGUGUGUCUCUGCUCUCUCCUCCAGCUGGUCCCGUGGUCAGACCCUCCGUCUCUCUGCUUCCUCCGUCCUCUGAGCAGCUCUCUGGGGGCUCGGCCACGCUGGCCUGUCUGCUGAGCGGCUACUCUCCUCAGGGAGCCGUGGUGAGCUGGGAGGUGGACGGUAGCGAGGUGACAGAGGGCGUCCAGAGCAGCUCAGAGGAGGAGAAGAACGGACGCUUCAGCAGCAGCAGCACCCUGACCCUGAGCCAGGAGCUGUGGAACAAGAGAACCCUGUACACCUGCAAGGUCCUCCAUCACGACCACAGUCAGGUCCAGGUCUUCCACAAGAGCCAGUGUCAGGACUAGAGGAGCUGUGUGUGGGAGAAGAGGAACAGACCUGCUGCUCUGAGCAACAUGAGUUUAAUGGAGUGAAAGGAAAGCUUCAUGUGAGAAACGUGUGGAGCUCCAUGAAUGUGUGUCUGCUUAAUGAGUGACCUGAUGAUUCAUGACUUUGACAAUAAAGUUUGCUCUUAUAUGAAAC